UACGAGUGCCCCAAGCGUUAUCCGGAAUCACUGGGCGUAAAGAGUAUGUAGGUGGCCUUGUUAGUCCUUCGUUAAAGCUUCCGGCUUAACCGGGAAUCUGCGUUGGAAACGGCAAGACUAGAGGGUGCGAGAGGUUUGCAGAACUCAUGGUGUAGGGGUGAAAUCCGUUGAUAUCAUGGGGAAUACCAAAAGCGAAGGCAGCAAACUGGCGCAUUCCUGACACUGAGAUACGAAAGCGUGGGUAGCGAAUGGG
rnacentral:misc_RNA from 1 species